rnacentral:rRNA from 1 species
AAAAAAAUCCAGUUUAUCCUGCUGGCGGCUGCGGCUAUCUGGCCUACAUUUAGACAUGCAAGUUUUUCGCGAGAAAGCGGACUGCUUAGUAACACGUUGCUAAUCUACCCUAAGAUCGGGAAUAACCUCGGGAAACUGAGGAUAAAACCCGGUAGAAGAUGGUUUCUGUAAUGAGCUAUCUUUGAAACUUUGGUCUUAGGAUGAGGCUGCGGUGGAUUAGGUAGUUGGCGGGGUAAAUGCCCACCAAGCCUAUGAUCUAUAAGAGCCUUUAGCGAGGAGGCUCUAAGAAGGAAUCUGAGACACUAUUCCUAGCCCUACGGGGUGCAGCAGUUAGGGAAAUUCUCCAAUGCGCGCAAGCGUGAGAGAGUAAGCCAGAGUGAUUUUGAUAUAAUUUCAAAAUCUUUUGUUUGUUGUAAAAAGACAGACGAAUAAGGAGUGGGCAAGAUCGGUGCCAGCCGCCGCGGUAAUCCCGACGCUCCAAGUCGCAGCCACAAUUAUUGGGUCUAAAACAUUCGUAGCUAGUUUGUUAAGUUCUUUGUGAAAUCUUACAUCUUAAGUGUAAGGCGUGCAAGGAAUACUGGCAGGCUUGAGACCGGAAGAAGCAAAGAGUAUGCUCGAGGUAGUGGUAAAAUAUGUUAAUCUCGAGCAGACUAACAACAGCGAAGGCACUUUGCUAGCACGGAUCUGACAGUGAGGAAUGAAGGCUAGGGGCGCAAAGUGGAUUAGAUACCCACGUAGUCCUAGCAGUAAACACUGCUCACUAAACAUUGGGGUCUCUUCGAGAGACGCCAGUGCUGUAGAGAAGUCGAAGAGUGCGCUACCUGGGAAGUAUAGUCGCAAGACCGAAACUUAAAGGAAUUGGCGGGGGGGUACUACAACGGGUGACGCGUGCGGUUUAAUUAGACUCUACACCGUGAAUCUCACCAGGAUCGAUAGCAGAAUGAAGGUCAGUCCAAUGGGCUUACCUGACACGCUAAGAGGAGUUGCAUGGCCGACGUCAGCCUGUGUCGUGAGAUGACCUGUUAAAUCAGGUAACAGGCGAGACCCGCGUGCAUAUUUACUUUUGCAAAAAAGUUCAAUAUGCAGACUGCCCGGGUAACUGGGAGGAAGGUGCGGGCUACGUUAGGUGAGUACAGCCUGAAUACCCUGGGCUACACGCGCGCGGCAAUGCUUGAUGCAAUGAGACGCAACUCCGAAAGGAGAAGCAAAUCCCAUAAUGUCAAGCCUAGUUCAGAUUGAAGUUUGUAACUCAACUUCAUGACGCUGGAAUCCGUAGUAAUCGUUCUUUAUCAGAGAACGGUGAAUAUGUCCCUGCUCCUUGCACACACCGCCCAUCAAACUAACCGAGUUAUGCUUUGAUGAAAUUUUUCGAAAGUGAAUCUUUGUAUGACAAGGUAAGUUAAGUUGACACAAGGUAUCUGUAGGGGAACCCGCAGAUGGAUCACCUCCUAU